CCAUUUGUAAGACAAUGGGAGGGACUUUGGAGAACUAAAUUGACUUCCUUCACCUCUCUAACCAGUCCGACAGCAAACUUGCGAGCAGUGUGAGCCAUGUGACAAUCCAGUACAGAGGCAUACACAGCCAGUGUGAUUCACCCUGGAGGAUUCAGGCUAAUCACCUGAGCAGUGAAGCCAGCUGCUUCCACAGGUAGGUGGUUUUGCUU
rnacentral:lncRNA from 1 species